CGUGCCCUUUGGUUCGGAACAACUCAGGGAAACUUGAGCUAAUACCGGAUAAGCCCUUCGGGGGAAAGAUUUAUCGCCAUUGGAGCGGCCCGCGUAGGAUUAGCUAGUUGGUGGGGUAAAGGCCCACCAAGGCUACGAUCCUUAGCUGGUCUGAGAGGAUGAUCAGCCACAUUGGGACUGAGACACGGCCCAAACUCCUACGGGAGGCAGCAGUGGGGAAUCUUGCGCAAUGGGCGAAAGCCUGACGCAGCCAUGCCGCGUGAAUGAUGAAGGUCUUAGGAUUGUAAAAUUCUUUCACCGGGGACGAUAAUGACGGUACCCGGAGAAGAAGCCCCGGCUAACUUCGUGCCAGCAGCCGCGGUAAUACGAAGGGGGCUAGCGUUGCUCGGAAUUACUGGGCGUAAAGGGAGCGUAGGCGGAUAGUUUAGUCAGAGGUGAAAGCCCAGGGCUCAACCUUGGAAUUGCCUUUGAUACUGGCUAUCUUGAGUACGGAAGAGGUAUGUGGAACUCCGAGUGUAGAGGUGAAAUUCGUAGAUAUUCGGAAGAACACCAGUGGCGAAGGCGACAUACUGGUCCGUUACUGACGCUGAGGCUCGAAAGCGUGGGGAGCAAACAGGAUUAGAUACCCUGGUAGUCCACGCUGUAAACGAUGAGUGCUAGUUGUCGGCAGGCAUGCCUGUCGGUGACGCAGCUAACGCAUUAAGCACUCCGCCUGGGGAGUACGGUCGCAAGAUUAAAACUCAAAGGAAUUGACGGGGGCCCGCACAAGCGGUGGAGCAUGUGGUUUAAU
rnacentral:rRNA from 1 species